rnacentral:misc_RNA from 1 species
ACGAAUAUAUGUCUGUUAAAGACAUUUUUCUCUUUCAAACACCUGUGAAUUUUAUAAAAAUUUUUUGCUUUGGCUGAAAUUAAUAUAUAUAUAUAUAUAUAUAUAUAUAUAUUCGGCCAAAAGUUUUUAAUUAAAACCUUUUUAUUUAUAAACAUUUUGAAUCUGAAGAACUGUUUUAUGAAAAAUUUAUUUA